AAGGGGGACAUCUCGAAGAGAAGCAGCAAGACCUCGGGAUCCGGUGGUUCAUUUUGGUCGUCGCCUGUGAGGCCAGCAUCCAAGAGUAAGAGGAAGCUAGGAGCAGUCUCAAAAAGAGAUGGAACCAAGGACAGCAAAUGCUGACGAAGAGAAGAGACGGACGAGCGUUUGCUUGCGGUUAAUACCGAAGGGACGGGAUGAAAUAAGGAAGCCAGAAUGCAGCGGCCCCUCGAUAUCACCAGGAACUGCUACAGGAGGAGGCGUUCUGGCACGGGUAACUAGGAUUAAUUGCCACGGCUGAAGUUGAAGAGACCGAGAAACGUAAGCCCCAAAGGGGCACAUCUUGGAGAGAGGGGGCUAGACCUAGCGAUCCAGUUGUUCGUUUUGGUCGUCGCCUGUGAGGCCAGCAUCCAAGAGUAAGAGGAAGCUAGGAGCAGUCUCAAAAAGGUAAUAGGUUUGAAAGGGAGACAGGCAAAUCGAGGGCUGUCGUUCCUCCACGUAGUUAAAGACCGAGAGAAUUGUCGGUUAAGCGCAUGCAUACGAGGGUUUGCGAACAGUAACAAUAACACUGAAGCGGAAUAAAAAUAAGGUUUUGUGGA